ACCAAGUAGGUGAUCAUGGAUGUACACAGAUUCGACGCAUGUUACGCAAUAGUGCGUAUUUCCGAUGUCGUACAUAUCACCAGCCAAGGGGCAUGACACCUGUAGCUUUCAACUUCAAAGGUGACUGAGGUUAAAGAAAAUCACACAUGAAACUGUAACCAGUUUGGGAGACUCAUACAACAGAACAUUUCAAUACCUAUUAAGUUUUUUAUGUAUAUGUUUGACUUUUGGUAAUAUUUUGGAAGUAACUUUAGUAAUUGAGAGACCUCAAUGUUGAAAAUGACAAUUUUGAUAGAGGACAAUUUUAAGAAUAUCAACUUAGUUGUUUAUGAAUCUUUAUCUUUUAAAAUAUUACUGGGUGUCUGAAAGAAUAUUUCAAAAUUUUCUGAAACUAUUUAGAUAUUUAUCAUGUUUCAUGUGUUUUAUAUAUAGGCAAAUAUUUAUUAUUUAUACAUGUCAUUUAUGUUAUGCAAGGGUUUAUAUGAAUUUCUAAAAAGAUGUAUGGGUUUAUAUGAAUUUCUAAAAAGAUGUAUAUAUAUGUGUUGAUAAAAUAAGUUCCAAAUUAUUACAGAGUAACAGAAAAUAGGAUCAAAUUAUAUUAAAACAAAUCUGUUUUAAAAUGGAAUGAAAAGUCAAAAAUUGUAUUUUUUAAAAUAAUUGUGUUAACAUUUUUGUGCUAUUUAGAAAUAUGUACACAAAAAAAAACUUUAAGAUAAGUAUCAAUGUAGUAUGCCCUUGUUAUUUUUUGUUUUGUGCAGUACAUGCAUUUGAAUCUUGAUCAAAAUUUAUGGAUUGAAUUACUAAACAGAAUAAACUAAUUGUUAUGUUAACACU